ACUCGUCCACCCGCCUGAGCCAACUUGCCCGCGACUCAGAGUGUGUCUGGACUCCGCUUCCUCCAAUGCCAAAGGAAAAUGUCUAUAAUCUCACUCUUCAGCGGGAAGCGUUGGACUCCGCGGUGGUCCUUGACUACACACACCGCAGUGCCCACCGGGAACGUAUUCCAUAUCUCUGAGCGCCUGGUGGGGAAUGUGGACUGUGACCCUGACUGGAUGAAAUGUAUCAUCAGCAUGGAUUCUGUGAUAAAUUACAAGAUACAAACUCAAAAGGAACUGCUUUCUAUGUGCCUCAUAUUUUAAUGUUUCUCCCCUUUGUGAAUGCUUAGGUGAGACUGUAGUCAUGAAAACUGAGUAAAGACUUUAUUACACACAUUACUGAGGCUUCUCUCCAAUGUGGACAUUCUGAAGUUGAAGACUUGAGGCCUGAAUGAAGCACAUACCACCCUCCUCAUACUUCCGUAGUUUCUCUCCCGUGUGGAGCUUCUGAAGCAUAAUAAAAUUCAAGUGAUCCAGCAAUUCUAUUACUGGGUAUAUCCAAAGGAAAGGAAAUUAGUAUGUCACGGAGAUAUCUGCACUCCCAGGUUCAUUGUAGCACUACUCACAAUAGUCAAGAUAAGGAAUCCACCUAAGUGUCUAUCAAUACAUGAAUGAAGAAAAGGUGGCAUAUAUACACAAUGGAAUCCUCUUUAGACAUAACAAGGAAACAAAAUUUUAUCAUUUGUGGCAACAUGGAUGAGUUUUCAAGGACAUUGUUAAUAUAAGCCAAGCAAAGAAAGAGAAAUACUGACUGUCCUCACUCAUAUGGAAGUUAAAAAAAGUUGAUUUUGUAGUAGAGAGUAGAACAGUGGAUGUAGACAGGCAAGGAAGUGUAGGAGGUAGGUGAGAUGGCCAAAGGUUGGCCAACAGAUACAAAAGAGGUAGAGGGGAAGAAUAAGUUCUACUGUUCUGCAGCACUAAAGGUGACUAUCAUCAACAAUUAUUUACAAAUUGCUAAAAAUGUGUUGUAGUCUCACAAAUGCACCACACUGUAACAGUCUCUCUGUAACAGUCUCUCUUAUCCCCCGGAGUUCUUAAUCUCACGUCCAAUAUGAUUAAGAAGCACAGACACAAGGGUGAAAUUGGAGUAAAAGUUUAAUAAGUGAAAGAAAAAAGCUCUCCACAGUGGAGAUGGGGAUCCAAAUAAGUUGCCCAGUAUGAGGCUGGGGUCCGGGGUUUUUAUGGACUGGGAAGGGGAAGGAAUGCACUUAGCCUGCGGGCUGUCUUGGAGAAAGCGUGAUUCAGCUUGGUCUGGGACCUUGGCCCGGGACCAAUCAGGAACCGAAGUGAUGAUUCAUAAGGGCUAUUCAGCUUGGCCCGGGACCAAUCAGGAGUUGAAGUGAUUAUUCCUAAGGGCUAUUCAGCUUGGCCUGGGACCAAUCAGGAGCUGAAGUGAUGAUUUACAGAGGCUGGGCUUUUCCUUUUCCACAAAAGAAAGUGCCAACCUGAACCUACUGAAGCCCACUGUGUUCAUGCCCACAAAAGAAGAAACUUUUUCCUCGGAGCCUGCUGAUUAUACAAAGGACAAAGGCAUUUCUGUGUCUGGUCUUGUUCCCUUAACUGAGUGAGCCGGAGGUUUGUGCGAGUUUUUACCUGAAUGGGCUGGAGGUUCUUCUAUCUGUGCAGCCAUGGGCAUGUCUCCAGGCACAAUCCCCUGUGCUAGUUCCCUUAUCAGUGCCUGUAGCUUGAUUGUCUUCCCCAGGCUGCUUUUUGUGUUAUGUGGGGAUGAGACACUGACCCGUUUGGCUGGGGGUCUCCAGGGACCCUUCCCUUGCUGUCUACCAACUCCUCUCAAAUGGAUUUUGAAUUUUCCAACACAAAGAAAUGGUAAAUGUUUGAGGUAACAGAUACACCAAUUACACUGAUUGGAUCACUAUAAAUUGUAUGCACACAUUAAAAUAGCACGUUGUACCCCAUAAAUAUGAACAAUUAUGUGUCAUUUAGAAAUAAUGAUAAAAGUAUAUCCAGAUUCAAGCGCCUCUUGUAGCGUCUCCCACAAUCCUCACAUUUGGAUGGGUUUUCCCCACUAUAGUCUCUCGGCUGGUCUUUACGGUAUGUCCUGUGUACAAGCCUCUUUCCACAGUCCUCACAUUUGAAUGGUUUUUUCUGGCAGUGGAGUCUCUUAUGAUUCAAAAUACUUGAGGCCCGGCUAAAGUUCUUCCCACAUUCCUUACAAUUAUAAGGUCUCUCUCCCGUGUGGACCCUCUGGUGCAAGUCAAGAUUAAACUUAGUAACAUAGCCCUUCCCACACUCCUCACAUUUAUAUGGCUUUUCACCACUGUGGGAUCUCUGAUGGGAAGACAGUUGUGAAUUUGUAUAAAAUCCCUUUCCACAUUCUUCACAUUUGAAGCUUUUUUCUCCACUGUGGACUCGCUGAUGGUUCAAAAGGCAUGAGGACCAUCUGAAGCUCUUCCCACAUUCUUUACAAUUAUAUGGUUUUUCUCCUGUGUGGACCACCUGAUGCUUAUAAAAAUCUAGCCUACCAAUAAAGCCUUUUCCACACUGCUCACAUCUGUACGGUUUCUCUCCUGUGUGGACCAUGCAAUGCCUAUUAAGUGCUGAUCUCUGAUGAAAGCUCUUAUCACAUGUAUCACACCUAAAUGGUUUUUCUCCUGUGUGAACCAUGGAAUGGCUCUUAAGUCUUGACCUAAAAUAGAAGGUCUUACCACAUAUAUCACAUUUGAAUGGUUUCUCCCCAGUAUGGAUUCUCUUAUGUUCCUUAAGCUGGGAAUCAUGAAUGAAGGCCUUCCCACAUGCCUCACAAAUGUAAGGUUUCUCUCCUGUGUGUAAUUUACGAUGAACAUUAAGUGCUGAUCUACGACUGAAACCUUUCCCACAUUGCUCACAUUUGAAUGGUUUCUCUCCAGUGUGGACUCUCUGAUGAGUUUGCAGAUGUGAGCUUUGACUAAAUUCCUUGCCACACACAUCACACAUAAAGAGUUUCUCUCCCACGUGGACUCUCUGAUGAACAUGAAGAGCUGAGAUGUAACAGAUGCUUUUUCCACACUCAUCACAUGUAUAAGACUUCUCUUCUGAGUAUAACUGCUGAGGAAGAUCAAAGAUGGGAACAUCACUGAUGGACUGUUUACACUUCCCACCCUGGGAAGGUUUCUGUCCUGUAUGAAUUGUGGGUAGUCCUGCUUCAACCUGGGAGGGGACAUCACCAUUUUCAAAGAACUGAGAGUUAUUUAUGAUAGAGUCCUGAGACCUGGUUAAGUCUUUUGCAAUUUGUUCCCAGAUUUGCUGGCAGGACCACUCUUCAUGUGCUCCUGCUUCUGGAACAGACUCCAACUCAGUUUGGAUCUUGCCUCCUAUAAAGACACAGAUUUAAGAGAUGUGUACAGGUGAAGCCUUUAUUCAGUGAUCUCAAGGUUUCACACUUAGGACAUGACAUUAAACUUUAAUGAAUACAGAGAAUGUUCAGUUUGUUUUCCAAGUACACCCUGAUUUCUGGUUUGCAUGAGGCCAAUUCAGAACCACAUCAUGUCUCACAUGUGAAAUCCUUGAUAGAAAUAAUAGACUUAAUUUAAAAAUAUGAUAUACAUUUAACUUGUUACUAUUUGUAAUGAAUUUCCUAGUCAGUCCAAAAUCUUGCAUGAUAAAUUAUGAAAAUAAAAAUUUAUGUACAUAAUGAAAUAUGAAUCAAAAGGAACUUUAAGGAAAAGCAAUAACUUAAUCAACACUUUGUAUAUUUGUGUUUAUGCUGUAUAUCCUUAUAAAGAAGUUAAACUAGGCCAGGUGCGGUGGCUCAAGCCUUUAAUCCCAGCACUUUGGGAUUGAUCACUGGAGUCCAGCAGUUCGAGACCAGCCUGGGCAAUAUAGCAAAACCCUGUCCCUACUAAAAAUACAUAAAUUAGCCAGGUGUGGUCGUGCACUCUGUAGUCCCAGCUACUUGGGAAGCUGAGGUGGAAGAAUUGCUUGAGCCUGGGAGGUGGAAGUUGCAGUGAGCCCUGGGUGACAGAGCGAGACCCUGUCUCAAAAAAAAAAAAAAAAAAAAGUGCUGGAUGCAGUGGCUCACACCUGUAAUCCCAGCAUUUUGGGAGGCUGAAGUGGGCAGAUCACUUGAGGUCAGGAGUUCAAGACCAGCCUGGCCUUGAAACCCCGUCUCUGCUAAAAAUACAAAAAUUAGCCACGUGUGGUGGCACAUGCCUGUAGUCCCAGCUACUCAGGAGGCUGAGGCAGGAGAAUUGCUUAAACCUGGAAGGCAGAGGUUGCAGUGAGCUGAGAUUGAGAUCGUGCCACUGCACUCCAACCUGGGAGAUAGAGCGAGACUCUGCCUCAAAAAAAAAAAAAAAGUUAACCUAACCAAAAAGAGGUUGGGACUUUGUCCUCAGCAUCUGAGAGGUAAUCUCUAGGAUCCUGAAGUGUCAUACCUCAGGAGAGUGUCUUGGUUGGCUUGAAGGCAAUCACUGGAUCACUCUGCAUAGUGAAACAAUAUAAUUUAUGGUUGCAACUGGCAAAUCCUUUGGGGGAUUGGGAGUGGGAGAUGCUCCUCUCCAUGUCAGAAAUAAGCAAUGUGAUUUAAGGUGGAGCUUUAGGUCACAGAGAGUUAGUGGACUAGGAGACUGAUUAACCACCUAGGAAUCAUCAAUCAAUACUGGCUCCA
rnacentral:lncRNA from 10 species